AGAGUUUGAUCCUGGCUCAGAUUGAACGCUGGCGGAACGCUUUACACAUGCAAGUCGAACGGUAACGCGGAGAGAAGCUUGCUUCUCUCCGGCGACGAGUGGCGAACGGGUGAGUAAUACAUCGGAACGUGUCCGCUCGUGGGGGACAACCAGCCGAAAGGUUGGCUAAUACCGCAUGAGUUCUACGGAAGAAAGAGGGGGACCCGCAAGGGCCUCUCGCGAGCGGAGCGGCCGAUGACUGAUUAGCCGGUUGGUGAGGUAACGGCUCACCAAAGCAACGAUCAGUAGCUGGUCUGAGAGGACGACCAGCCACACUGGGACUGAGACACGGCCCAGACUCCUACGGGAGGCAGCAGUGGGGAAUUUUGGACAAUGGGCGCAAGCCUGAUCCAGCUAUUCCGCGUGUGGGAUGAAGGCCCUCGGGUUGUAAACCACUUUUGUAGAGAACGAAAAGACACCUUCGAAUAAAGGGUGUUGCUGACGGUACUCUAAGAAUAAGCACCGGCUAACUACGUGCCAGCAGCCGCGGUAAUACGUAGGGUGCGAGCGUUAAUCGGAAUUACUGGGCGUAAAGGGUGCGCAGGCGGUUGAGUAAGACAGAUGUGAAAUCCCCGAGCUUAACUCGGGAAUGGCAUAUGUGACUGCUCGACUAGAGUGUGUCAGAGGGAGGUGGAAUUCCACGUGUAGCAGUGAAAUGCGUAGAUAUGUGGAAGAACACCGAUGGCGAAGGCAGCCUCCUGGGACAUAACUGACGCUCAGGCACGAAAGCGUGGGGAGCAAACAGGAUUAGAUACCCUGGUAGUCCACGCCCUAAACGAUGUUAACUAGUUGUUGGGAAGUAAAAUUCUCAGUAACGCAGCCAACGCGAGAAGUUAACCGCCUGGGAAGUACGGUCGCAAGACUAAAACUCAAAGGAAUUGACGGGGACCCGCACAAGCGGUGGAUGAUGUGGAUUAAUUCGAUGCAACGCGAAAAACCUUACCUACCCUUGACAUGUCAGGAAGCUCUUGUAAUGAGAGCGUGCCCGCAAGGGAGCCUGAAC
rnacentral:rRNA from 1 species